GAUUCAGUUGAAAAUGGGGCUACAAGUGAUGGGAAGUCUAGUGAAAAGAUAAACACUAAUGCCAAUAUGCAUCAUUCCCUUCUUAUGUAUCUACUUGCAGAUUAGGCUGGCUGUGAACCUGGUGACAUAUGUGAUUUUGAGCUGCAAGUAUGUGACACUCAACCAAGUCUUAUUGGUGGUGCUAUGAAGGAGUUUGUGUUUUCUCGAAGACUUGAUAAUCUUUGCAUGCAUGUCCUUCUGUUCUCUAAAGUUGGCGGGCAUGAUAAGAAAGGAACUGUUUAUGGACUUGGUUCAUAUGGUACCUUCAUUCGUGGUCCAAUAAAGUUAACACACCAGACAAUAUAACA